rnacentral:rRNA from 1 species
ACGGAAGGCAGCAGUGGGGAAUAUUGGACAAUGGGGGAAACCCUGAUCCAGCGACGCCGCGUGAGUGAAGAAGUAUUUCGGUAUGUAAAGCUCUAUCAGCAGGGAAGAUAAUGACGGUACCUGACUAAGAAGCCCCGGCUAACUACGUGCCAGCAGCCGCGGUAAUACGUAGGGGGCAAGCGUUAUCCGGAUUUACUGGGUGUAAAGGGAGCGUAGACGGCGAUGCAAGUCUGAUGUGAAAACCCAGGGCUUAACCUUGGGCCUGCAUUGGAAACUGCUUUGCUAGAGUGCAGGAGAGGUAAGUGGAAUUCCUAGUGUAGCGGUGAAAUGCGUAGAUAUUAGGAGGAACACCAGUGGCGAAGGCGGCUUACUGGACUGUAACUGACGUUGAGGCUCGAAAGCGUGGGGAGCAAACAGGAUUAGAUACCCUGGUA